AUUGAACGCUGGCGGCAGGCCUAACACAUGCAAGUCGAGCGGAUGAAGGGAGCUUGCUCCUGGAUUCAGCGGCGGACGGGUGAGUAAUGCCUAUGAAUCUGCCUGGUAGUGGGGGAUAACGUCCGGAAACGGGCGCUUAUACCGCAUACGUCCUGAGGGCGCAAGUGGGGGAUCUUCGGACCUCACGCUAUCAGAUUAGCCUAGGUCGGAUUAGCUAGUUGGUGGGGUAAAGGCCUACCAAGGCGACGAUCCGUAACUGGUCUGAGAGGAUGAUCAGUCACACUGGAUCUGAGACACGGCCCAGACUCUGACAGGGGGCCGCAGUGGGGAAUAUUGGGCAAUGGGCGAAAGCCUGAUCCAGCCAUGCCGCGUGUGUGAAGAAGGUCUUCGGAUUGUAAAGCACUUUAAGUUGGGAGGUAGGGCAGUAAGUUAAUACCUUGCUGUUUUGACGGUACCAACAGAAUAAGCACCGGCUAACUUCGUG
rnacentral:rRNA from 1 species